rnacentral:rRNA from 1 species
CACAUGCAAGUCGAGCGGGCCCUUCGGGGUCAGCGGCGGACGGGUGAGUAACGCGUGGGAACGUGCCUUCUGGUUCGGAAUAAUCCUGGGAAACUAGGGCUAAUACCGGAUACGCCCUUUUGGGGAAAGGUUUACUGCCGGAAGAUCGGCCCGCGUCUGAUUAGCUAGUUGGUGGGGUAACGGCCUACCAAGGCGACGAUCAGUAGCUGGUCUGAGAGGAUGAUCAGCCACACUGGGACUGAGACACGGCCCAGACUCCUACGGGAGGCAGCAGUGGGGAAUAUUGGACAAUGGGCGCAAGCCUGAUCCAGCCAUGCCGCGUGAGUGAUGAAGGCCUUAGGGUUGUAAAGCUCUUUUAUCCGGGACGAUAAUGACGGUACCGGAGGAAUAAGCCCCGGCUAACUUCGUGCCAGCAGCCGCGGUAAUACGAAGGGGGCUAGCGUUGCUCGGAAUCACUGGGCGUAAAGGGCGCGUAGGCGGCGUUUUAAGUCGGGGGUGAAAGCCUGUGGCUCAACCACAGAAUGGCCUUCGAUACUGGGACGCUUGAGUAUGGUAGAGGUUGGUGGAACUGCGAGUGUAGAGGUGAAAUUCGUAGAUAUUCGCAAGAACACCGGUGGCGAAGGCGGCCAACUGGAC